rnacentral:rRNA from 1 species
CCUAUGACCUCAAACAGGUGGGACNACCCGCUGAACUAA